AAAUUUAUUUGAUUUUCCAUUUUAAACAAAAUGCUCCCACCUUAAGAUAGUAUUGUCAAAGCUUACUGUAAAUAUUUAAUCAAGCUUUAUUACAUAAACUCAAGUGAAAAUACAUUCAUGAUUACAAGAUACCUUAUUUUCGAAUCCGCAUAAAAUACAUUCACAAUAACCAACAUCAACAUGAACAAAUGUACAAGGAUAUGUUAGUAAUUGAACAACUUUGUGGCAGACAUCACAGUCUAGGAACUUGUUGCUGAGAAAGAGCACGACCCGAGAUGAGGUAGACUUUGAAUGUAUGGGCUCGAGCUAACAUGUCACUCAUGUGUAGCCUCCAGUUACUACUUGGAACUUGAAGAACUCAAGUUGGAAAAAGAAGUUUCACCUGGUGCCAAAACCCUUAUCUCAAUGCACUUCGCAAGAAAAAUAAGAGUCUCAAACUGCAAACCUUAAUCUAUCCCUAAUUGGAAAACAUGUAUCCAUCAACCUCUUACCAUCACUUUUCAGCAACUCCACAAACAUAGAGCCCUUUAUAAGCAAAACUUGGCAAAAUCUUGCAUGUCAGACUUGUAAUAUAUAGAAAACAAUUAAGUUGAGAAAAAGUACAUCAGAAAACAGUGCAGUAAUAAAUCAAUAUUAGGAAACCAGUGCCGAGACACAAUUAUAACAGCAUGCCCUUGCUUAUGAAGUCCAAAAACUCAGAUAAAUUAAAGAUACAGUAAAUACUAGUGGGGUCUUACAUAGAAAGGAAAAGGGAGCUCCCUUCAGUCCAAGUACAGGAAACUUAAGAACCAAUUUGUCUCCCGCAUCAUUCACUCAUUUGAUGAGCAUCUUUGAGUAUCACUCAGCAUUUGGAUGAAUGAGCCGGCAGCUAAUUGAAUCUUAUUGCCACCUAUGAGUGGACUGAAGAAAGCUCACUUACCUACAUUUGUUAAGGCUCAGUUUUUUGGUAUUCUUCAACAGUUUGGCUUAGUUGAAGAACAAGUAUACAGAUCUGCAUGACUAUCCACAAGAAAUAGAAGAAACUGGUGUUAAACAUAGGCAAACAAGACAAGUAACUGUUAUGCUGGGUAUUGAGAAGGAAAAAUAAAGCAAGGAAAAUAUCUUACAAAAGAAUCAUGAACCAUAUUAUACCCAGAAGGAUGGCUCGACCAUCUUACAUCUCACAGACUAGCCACAGCAUUCAUGAUACUCUAAUCUAAGCAAGCAACUCACAGAAUCUAAGAAGAGAUGAAGGGCUUUAUAUAAGCUAGAAGAGAGAAGGGUUCUGAAUUUAAU
rnacentral:lncRNA from 1 species